rnacentral:rRNA from 1 species
CAAGUCGACCGGCAGCGGGAAGUAGUUUACUACUUUGCCGGCGAGCGGCGGACGGGUGAGUAAUGUCUGGGGAUCUGCCUGAUGGAGGGGGAUAACUACUGGAAACGGUAGCUAAUACCGCAUGACCUCGCAAGAGCAAAGUGGGGGACCUUAGGGCCUCACGCCAUCGGAUGAACCCAGAUGGGAUUAGCUAGUAGGUGGGGUAAUGGCUCACCUAGGCGACGAUCCCUAGCUGGUCUGAGAGGAUGACCAGCCACACUGGAACUGAGACACGGUCCAGACUCCUACGGGAGGCAGCAGUGGGGAAUAUUGCACAAUGGGCGCAAGCCUGAUGCAGCCAUGCCGCGUGUGUGAAGAAGGCCUUCGGGUUGUAAAGCACUUUCAGCGAGGAGGAAGGGGUUGAGUUUAAU